rnacentral:lncRNA from 1 species
UAACCAAAAAAAUUUAUGGUAUUGGAGGAAGAAGACGACGAGCAUGGACUCGCGAUUGUGAAAUAGAAUUUUGGAAACACAGAUGCUCAAAAAUGUCAAAGCCUGAGAAGAUUCAGACAUUGAAGUCAGUUCUCGACCUCCUGAGAGAUGAUUCAAAAACUGCAGAGACGUUGGAGCAAGACGACGACGAGCAUGGACUCGCGAUUGUGAAGUAGAUUUUGGAAAUACAGAUGCUCAAAAAUGUCAAAGCCUGAGAAGAUUCAGACAUUGAAGUCAGUUCUCGACCUCCUGAGAGAUGAUUCAAAAACUGCAGAGACAAAGCAUGUGAAUGAAGGGGAGGGAAAGUCUUCCAUUCUAUCAAGGCUGUAUUUAGCAGAUAGUUCGGUUUUUCCAAGAAAGGAGGAUAUCAAGCCUGUCUCGUCCC